rnacentral:rRNA from 1 species
UACGUAGGGUGCAAGCGUUAAUCGGAAUUACUGGGCGUAAAGCGUGCGCGGGCGGUUUUGUAAGCCAGAUGUGAAAGCCCCGGGCUCAACCUGGGAACUGCGUUUGGAACUACAAGACUAGAGUGUGUCAGAGGGGGGUAGAAUUCCACGUGUAGCAGUGAAAUGCGUAGAGAUGUGGAGGAACACCGAUGGCGAAGGCAGCCCCCGGUCGA